rnacentral:rRNA from 1 species
CCUACGGGGGACAGCAGUGGGGAAUAUUGGACAAUGGGGGAAACCCUGAUCCAGCGACGCCGCGUGAGUGAAGAAGUAUUUCGGUACGUAAAGCUCUAUCAGCAGGAAAGAAAAUGGCGGUACCUGACUAAGAAGCCCCGGCUAACUACGUGCCAGCAGCCGCGGUAAUACGUAGGGGGCAAGCGUUAUCCGGAAUUACUGGGUGUAAAGGGAGCGUAGACGGCUGUGCAAGUCUGGAGUGAAAGGCGGGGGCUCAACCCCCGGACUGCUCUGGAAACUGUAUGGCUGGAGUGCAGGAGAGGUAAGCGGAAUUCCUAGUGUAGCGGUGAAAUGCGUAGAUAUUAGGAGGAACACCAGUGGCGAAGGCGGCUUACUGGACUGUAACUGACGUUGAGGCUCGAAAGCGUGGGGAGCAAACAGGAUUAGAUACCCUUGUAGUC